rnacentral:rRNA from 1 species
AACCAGACUCCUACGGGAGGCAGCAGUGGGGAAUAUUGCACAAUGGGGGAAACCCUGAUGCAGCGACGCCGCGUGAGUGGAGAAGUAUUUCGGUAUGUAAAGCUCUAUCAGCAGGGAAGAUAAUGACGGUACCUGACUAAGAAGCCCCGGCUAACUACGUGUCAGCAGCCGCGGUAAUACGUAGGGGGCAAGCGUUAUCCGGAUUUACUGGGUGUAAAGGGUGCGUAGGUGGCAUGGCAAGUCAGAAGUGAAAGCCCGGGGCUCAACCCCGCGGACUGCUUUUGAAACUGUCAGGCUGGAGUACAGGAGAGGUAAGCGGAAUUCCUAGUGUAGCGGUGAAAUGCGUAGAUAUUAGGAGGAACACCAGUGGCGAAGGCGGCUUACUGGACUGUAACUGACACUGAGGCACGAAAGCGUGGGGAGCAAACAGGAUUAGAUACCCGCGUAC